rnacentral:lncRNA from 1 species
GAAGCUUAACUAUUUCGAUAGUGACUUGAAUAAGUACGUGGAACUUAACUAUUUUGGUAGUGACGUGGAUAAUACAUGAAGCUUAGCUAUUACAGUAGUGACAUGGAUCUUUGUUUUAGCUUUGGAAUCCAGAUAGGGAAAAUAAGGCAGACCUUUACAGAAAUUGAUUUUAUUAAAUUUCGUGAAGUGCUAUAAUAUU